GCGGGACCCAUAAGGGCGGUGGCCCGGGGAAAGUGCCUCUGAGACCGGGAGGGCCUUCUCCAGGGUCAGGGCGCUGACAGGGCAGCGUCCGUACCUCAGCGGACAAAGUUGGUUCCUGGGGCAGUCAGUCGGCCAAGGAAGAGAGCCACUGGAUGAGGGUGGCGAGUCCUGAGUGUGGGUCACACGAGGAGAGGAGAGAGUUGGGGAGGGGGUGCAUAUGGCAAGUGUCAAAUAAACUUUAGUUAACAAAUAGCCUGAAAUCCCUCAUCAUCGCUGGGACUCCCUUGCCCUUUUGAAGGGCACCGCUGAAAAGGGGCUCCUGCUGCCCUUCUUGAAACCAGCCUAACCCCGUUCCGCCAGCCCCCUUGCCCCCACACCUAAAAUCAAUUACAAAAUCAAACCCGGGAGGAGAGGCUCACAUCUUGGAGCAGAUACUGGACGCUUCAUCACAUCUCCUUGUCCAGCUGCGGCAGUUUGGAGUGCUUCCUUGCAUUUCUUCCAUCCCUUGCUGGAGCGUCGACAGGGGAAGACUUGACCCCUGGGAAUCCGUGGCACUGUUGGACCACGGUGUUCUUUGGGGUGAAAUAGAUGGAUAGCUGACUAGAAUGGUGUGGUGUUUGAUUUGAAUAACGAGAAAGAAAUCAAGAAUUAGUGAUCAGAAGGCGAAUGUCAAUUGCUGCAGUAGAAAAUCAUGAUUCCUCACUCUGUAUUUUAAUCUGAGCCGGUUCUGAGACCUGGAACCCACUGGUGGAAAGGGAGGCUCAGUCCCUUACAGAAAGGAUCCUACAAUGCCACCAAAUGUACAUUAAAAAAUACUCCUCUAAUCCUUUCCCAAAGGGACCUAGCACCUCUUAACAAAAGUCCCUUACUUUGGAAAAGGGACUAUCCAGACCUUUCAAGAGCUGUUAGAUACAGGAUCUGAGCUGACACAUGUGCAGGGCACAUGAAGCCUCAUGGACCACCCGUCUGAGUAGAGGCUGUGGAAGUCCCAUGGUGAACAGGAUCCUGACCCAAGUCUUGAGGUCACUUCCUUGGUCCUGGUGCAUACUUGGGGUUAUAUUAUAUCUAGUAAUGGGCAGAGCUUGUACUUUGACCCCUGACCUCACAUGGUAUGAAGAGCCACGGGGAAGCCUCUGAAACCCCACCCCCUCCCAUGCUGCAUUCCAUGUCACUCUCAAAGACAUAAAUCUCAUUAUACCCCUGUCAAUUCACCUGAAUGGCCCCUGCAAAAUCCAGGUGGGUUCAAGUAAGUGGUGGCGGGCUCCCACAAAGUAAGCCUUCAUUCGCAGCAGCUGUGUCGGGAGAUAUCGCCAUCCUGGAGCUGAUUAAUGCACCUCUGGCACCUGAUGAUGCAGUUGAUGUGGUGACUAUUCUUCCCCACCACUCAGUUUCCAGUAGUAAGAGUAAAUUUGUAAAAGCAGUUCACUUUUAUAUGGGAAAGACAGCCAAACAUAUUCAUUGUCUUGCUUCAAGGCUGUUUUAACUCCUGUGCUUUCUGUCACAAUGUGAUCCAUUGGGACCUUGACCGUCUGGACGUCCUACAUAACACUGAUGACAUCAUGCUAACCGGACGUGGUUGGGAAGGAAGUGACGAGUGUUCUGCCCACGCAGAUGGGAAGAAAAAUUUAGGUCUGGUUCACAGAUGAGUCAACUUGAUGUGUCUAUGUGAGCUGAAGAUGAACUACUGCUGCACUUCCAUCCCAUUCAGAGUGGCUCUGAAGGACAGUAAUGAGGAGAAUUCCUGCAAAGAGCAGAGCUUCAAGCAAGUACACUUGGAUAUCCACUUUGUAGGGAAGGAGGGGAGUAGACAGAAGAGCGGCCUGGGGAAGAUGUGCACAUGGACUUCCGGGUGGAGACGGAUGUCUUCCAGGGGACCUAGAAAGAGAAGGAGGGGUGUUGGAGACAAGGAGGACUGUAAGAGAAGACGGCCCCAGAGGAGUGGUCACAAGUGUGUAUAUCUUCCUGCCUCGUGGUAACACCCACGGCAAAGGGGUCACUGAGAAACAAAUCGCAUGCGUAGAUGUCAGCCCGCUUCUGUCCUUGUCUACCUUUGUGCUUGUAAGCUCCACAAAGGCCAGAAAAUGUUGGUACCCUAAAGAGUCAAUUACAUAGCUGGCACUCAAGAAACAGUGUUUCCAAUUAAUGGACAGAGCUUCAGGGUUAUCACUUCACGCAAUAUCCAUCAACACCUCCCUCCAGCCUGUGCAAUCUGUACUGUGUACUGCAAGUUCAGUUUUAGCCCAAUCAGCAUCCUCUAUACAGUCACAUCUGGGUCCAGCCUGGAUCAGCCUCCCUUGGGCUCCGGCUUCUGCUCAACGCUGCUCAGCAGUUGGGCAACACUUCCUCCAGCUCUGAUCAGGACCCGUCGGGGAAACAGUUCCUCCAGCCCGAGUCAGCAAGUUUUAGGGAGAAAUCUCCGUGGGCCCAAUCAGCACCCUUUGUGGGACAGCUCCGACCAGUCCUGAUCAGCACCCCGAUGUGGACAGCUCCUCCAGCCCAGCUUCCGUAGGAAUCCCGCAGCCCUCGGCUGGAGACCUCAACGCUUCUGAUUACCCGGGACGCCAGUGCUGCUCCUGGGGCCGUAGCCACCCCUCCACGAGCCCCUGUCUCCUUGUCCCACCUCCCCAGACCAGUUAACCAGAGGUCUGCGGGCCGACGUCUCCAUCGCAGUUUCCUCGUUUAAGCUCUUAGCGCACGAACGGAUCCCUCAUCCCCACCAAUCCGCUUCUCACCUUCCCCCGCCCCGAGGAGACCAAACCGCACACCCGAUCCUUCCCCAACCGAGUCUCUCAGUCAAACCAUCUCGUCUCCACCAACCAGCUUCCC